UAGGGAAUCUUGCACAAUGGGCGAAAGCCUGAUGCAGCAACGCCGCGUGAAGGAUGAAGGCCUUCGGGUUGUAAACUUCUGUUCUAAGGGAAGAAAGAAAUGACGGUACCUUAGGAGCAAGCCCCGGCUAACUACGUGCCAGCAGCCGCGGUAAUACGUAGGGGGCAAGCGUUAUCCGGAAUUAUUGGGCGUAAAGAGUGCGUAGGUGGUUACCUAAGCGCAAGGUUUAAAUUAGAGGCUCAACCUCUACAUGCCUUGCGAACUGGGCUACUUGAGUGCAGGAGGGGAAAGCGGAAUUCCUAGUGUAGCGGUGAAAUGCGUAGAUAUUAGGAGGAACACCGGCGGCGAAGGCGGCUUUCUGGACUGUAACUGACACUGAGGCACGAAAGCGUGGGUAGCAAACAGGAUUAGAUACCCUGGUAGUCCACGCCGUAAACGAUGAGCACUAGGUGUUGGGUCCGUUAGGACUCAGUGCCGCAGUUAACGCAAUAAGUGCUCCGCCUGGGGAGUACGCUCGCAAGAGUA
rnacentral:rRNA from 1 species